CCCCUAGAUGUUCUGGGCCGCACGCGCGCUACACUGACCAGUGCAACAAGCAUCCGUCCUUGGCCGACAGGCUCGGGCAAUCUUUGAACGCUGGUCGUGAUGGGGAUAGACUUUUGCAAUUUUUGGUCUUCAACGAGGAAUUCCUAGUAAACGCAAGUCAUCAACUUGCAUUGAUUACGUCCCUGCCCUUUGUACACACCGCCCGUCGCACCUACCGAUUGAAUGGUCCGGUGAAGCCUCCGGAUUGGCGCGCACCUCGGUGCCGCCGAGAAGUUGGCUAAACCUUNCNAUUUAGNGGAAGGUGAANUCGUANCA
rnacentral:rRNA from 1 species